rnacentral:rRNA from 1 species
UUGGAGGGCAAGUCUGGUGCCAGCAGCCGCGGUAAUUCCAGCUCCAAUAGCGUAUAUUAAAGUUGUUGCAGUUAAAAAGCUCGUAGUUGAACUUCGGGAUUUACCCAUUGGUCAGGCUUAAUUGUCUGUACUGGUGAGAUGAAUCUCUACCUUCUGAGGAACUUUCAUGCCAUUUAUUUGGUGUGAUUGGAAAUCAGGACUAUUACUUUGAAAAAAUUAGAGUGUUUAAAGCAGGCUAACGUCUGAAUAUAUUAGCAUGGAAUAAUGAAAUAGGACGGCUUAGUUCUAUUUCGUUGGUUUCUAGGAUCACCGUAAUGAUUAAUAGGGAUAGUUGGGGGCAUUAGUAUUCAUUUGUCAGAGGUGAAAUUCCUGGAUUUAUUGAAGACUAACUACUGCGAAAGCAUUUGCCAAGGAUGUUUUCAUUAAUCAAGAACGAAAGUUAGGGGAUCGAAGACGAUCAGAUACCGUCGUAGUCUUAACCAUAAACUAUGCCGACUAGGGAUCGGACGAAGUUAAUUUUAUAAUGACGCGUUCGGCACCUUACGGGAAACCAAAGUGUUUGGGUUC